CGGCCACCGAGGGAGUUAUUUUGAGACAGACAAUCCUUUCUUCAACUUGUUUUUGAAAGCCUACUCAAUUUUAUCCUACUUAAUAUGUAAACUCAUUUUCAUGUUCAUUUGAAGGAGACAUAUUAGGAUUCUUUCAGACUGGGGGUGUAGCUCCAGCAGGCUGUGGAAAUGCUGGAGCUGAUCAGAAAAGGAAGUGUGAAGACAGUGUCAGAAGUCAUUUUGCUAUUAACCAGCAAAGGUGUUGAGGGAAAUGAGAACACAUGUCAUCAGUUACCACUUUUGAUGGACUUCAAAGACUUAAGAUUUUCCUCCAAGUAAUCUCAAGAAACUCACCCAGAGAAACAAACUAGGACUCAGCGCUGACCUCCCAGCAAUCCCAGUAACUUGCUUGAAAGUGAAGGAAGUGGAUUUCAAACAAGCAUAAGCCAAGAGAGGAUUUGAUGCCCACAUAAACCAGGAAGAAUGAUGUUACAGCUGGCCUCAGGAAUGACAGAAUUAGGACUGGGGUGAUCUCUGCCUGUCAAGACUCCUGGCCUCCAUCUCUGGCCUCUGCAUCACUGUGUGUUGGUCUAAUUGGUCUCAAACCGGC
rnacentral:lncRNA from 1 species